rnacentral:rRNA from 1 species
GUGGGGAAUAUUGGACAAUGGGCGAAAGCCUGAUCCAGCCAUGCCGCGUGUGUGAAGAAGGCCUUUUGGUUGUAAAGCACUUUAAGCGAGGAGGAGGCUACCGAGAUUAAUACCCUUGGAUAGUGGACGUUACUCGCAGAAUAAGCACCGGCUAACUCUGUGCCAGCAGCCGCGGUAAUACAGAGGGUGCGAGCGUUAAUCGGAUUUACUGGGCGUAAAGCGUGCGUAGGCGGCUUUUUAAGUCGGAUGUGAAAUCCCUGAGCUUAACUUAGGAAUUGCAUUCGAUACUGGGAAGCUAGAGUAUGGGAGAGGAUGGUAGAAUUCCAGGUGUAGCGGUGAAAUGCGUAGAGAUCUGGAGGAAUACCGAUGGCGAAGGCAGCCAUCUGGCCUAAUACUGACGCUGAGGUACGAAAGCAUGGGGAGCAAACAGGAUUAGAUACCCCUGUAGUCC